rnacentral:misc_RNA from 1 species
UUCAUGACACGCUUUCAGCUGUUACAGCAAUUCUGCAUUUUGUUCAAUUUCCGUCUGAAAUUGAACGCGACAAGUUACACUGGCUGUGUAUUCGAGAUUUCUGGAACUUGGAUUAAAUUCCGAGGAGACUGAUAAGGCGGCUCACGAAGAAACGGAAAUAUGACGCAUCAGACAUCACUAUUGAAAUAAGAUUCUAUUCUUCGUUCGUUCAAAGGUCAAAACGACAAGAUUGGUUUUGAAUGUGCUUUGCUGAAGGAGAAAAUGGAAAACCAAGUCGGAGAUUUUAAAAUUAGUAGGAAACAAAUCAUCCACACUUUUGACUUCAAUAAUGAUUAUCAGAAUGUGGAAUUCACUCAUGUCAUGACGACUGACUGCUACCGCCGAGGGAGACCUUACAAACUGUUCAGGUUUAAUGGGGGAAGUCAGGUGCAGAUUACUUUUGAUCUGCCAGAGAAUGUUAAGAAACCAACUCGUCUCCAUCUGACCGUCACGGAAGGUUGCUGGAGUGGAAUGAUGGAUAUUUUCUUGAAUGACACCCUUUGGAUUGAGAGACAUAAGAGUGCUGGGUCCAACUGGCAAACCCGUGAAAUAACUUUGGAGGUGGAUAGGGAACGGUUACGCGCCCAGAACAAUUCUAUCACCAUGAAGCUACGUGAAGAUGCUGUAAACGUCUACUGGUUGGCAGACGCUAUCAUAGAAGUGACUUAUACUGUUCCAUCUACACUCGUUGACAUCACUGCCAAUGCUGUGGCGAGAAUGAUCAGGAAUGGACAAAUUCCGGAGGAAGUAAUUAACAUCAAACAAAAUCUUCCAACAGAGGUUGCAAACAUUAUUUAUGAGUGGAUGUAACAGAACUGGUUAUUUUGCCUUUUUUUUCAAAAGGAACGUUUUUAAAUAACCGCCUCUUUGAACGGUUUCACUUGAGUGUCGAAGGUAAAUUGUAUUUGCUUUGGUUUGGUUUUCAAACAAUUGGCUUAAAGAAAGUCGGGCCACUUUUUCAUCCAAUCAGAAGUAAAACCAGAAUCAAUCUUGAUUCAUGUCUCACUCGCAUGCGUUUUUUCGCGCUUAGCGUGAGCUUCAUGUCAUUGCUUUGAGUUUUGAUUGGUUCACUGUAUUGUGUAAUUUGUGAUUGGCUAGAGUGAUUAAUGGUUUUGGUAAUACGACGCUUUAAAUACUAUUAGUAGAAUUCUACUAGUAUACUAAUGCAAAUGCUGCAGUCUGAUUGGCUGAGCUACUCGUACACUAUCAGCCAUAGAGUGCAGUGGCUGUCUGUCCUCUACGAAAUGGCGACGCUUCCUCGUUUUCUCGAUAUUUUGGAGGAACGUUUAGAUGCACAUGGACAGUUAAAUUCCCGAGAAGACUAAAAUAAGUUAAUUAACGAUAUUGUGACUUAAAAAACUUGAAAUUAUUGAAAAAAAAAAAACAAGUGCUCACGCGUAAACAACUGCAAAUUUCCAAUGAAAAUUUAGUGCAGGCGAUAUUGUUGUGGCGUGAGUUUAAUAAUAAGUACAAAAAUAAUUGGAAACCGUUAUUUGCGUCAAUUUCGGUUAGAAUUCUACUAAAACA